rnacentral:misc_RNA from 1 species
AACACCAUGACCAAGGUCAUGGCUCUGGAGUUGGGAGUGCACAAGAUCAGAGUUAACUCAAUAUCACCUGGACUCUUCAAAUCUGAGAUCACAGACGGUCUUAUGCAAAAGGACUGGCUCACCAAUGUUGCUUUGAAAACCGUCCCUUUGCGAACAUAUGGCACCUCAGAUCCGGCAUUAACGUCGCUGGUCCGAUACUUAAUCAAUGACUCCUCAGAAUAUGUGUCUGGCAAU